AAAUUUUCUUCUUGGAUUUUCAGGUACAUGCCCAGCAGUACUAGAAGCAACAAGGAAACUCAACUUCUAUUCUCACCAGAUCCUGCAAGUUUGGAGGGUUCGAUCCGCAAAGAAGCGCGCUCCUCAUCGAUCGACAACAACACCUGUUCGUCGUUCGAUUUCUUUCAACCACCGUCGACCCAGACACUAGCCCCGUCGAAAGAUACUCGCUCACCACCAUCGACCGAAGACACUCAUCUUCCAUCGACCGACAUGAUCCAUCUGACAUCGAUCGAUACUCCAUCCCAGACAUCGAUCGAUACUGAGCCGCGAGACAUGGUUGCGACUCUGAUACUUAUUCGAGAUGAUAAUGGUGACCCUCAUGACAAGGAUGGUCAUCUGCGUAAUGCAGCAGGUCAGAGGAUAGAUGCUCAGGGGGCUGCAAUCCCUGAGUCUGAUGCUAAUGCUACAUGAACUACUUUACCUGUAGAUGAGGUUGCGCGACCCAAGACGUUGGCUGACUACAACCGUCCAGAUCAGUUCUACACCAAUAGAUCAGCCAUUCGUCCUCCCACUAUUCAGAGGGAUUUUGAGUUGAAGGCGCAGUACUACACACUCGUGGGACAUAUACCCUACCAUGGAUUAUCUCACGAGCAUCCUAUGGACCAUCUGGAGAGGUUCGAGGAUCUGAUAUCUGCUAUUAAAGUCAAAGGAGACCAUGAGGAUUAUCUCCUAUGCAAGCUCUUCAAGUUCUCUCUUGCUGGAGAAGCUUCUCAUUGGGUUAAGCAGCUACCACCAGGAUUUCUUAGAUCCUGGAACGAUAUCAAUAAUGCAUUCUUAUGCAAUUUCUUUGAUGAUGCACGUGCUGAAGACUUGAGGAGCAAGAUUGCUACAUUCACUCAGGAGCCUGCAGAAUCAUUCAAAAGCUCUUGGAUCAGAUUCAAGUCUUAUCAGAGAGACUGUCCACACCAUGGAUUCAAUGAAGUACAACUACUCAGUACUUUCUACAGAGGCAUCGCGGUGCAGUACAAUAUGGAUCUUGGUGCUUCCAGCAAUGGAAACUUCAACACCAGGAAUCUAGGAGAGGCAGUGAAGGUCAUUGAAAACCUAGCAUCUAGCAACAGCACCAAGAACACUGAUUUUGAGAGGAAGAAGUCUGCCACCAUCCUUGGGAAUGAUCAGAUGGAUGAGGUGCAAGCAACCUUAAAAACUAAGAGCACCUCCAUCCAUAGGAGCCUCUUAUGGGUUCUUUAGAUUAAUUUAAAAGUUAAAAAGGUGAUUUGAAAGAUUAAAAACCUUGGUUAGUGGUAAUUAAUUUUUUGACCUCCAUUGGAAGAACCUCAUAGGGGUUCUUAAUUUUUUUUUUUAAUUAGAAUGAUUUAAAUAAAAACAUACAUAAAAGUUUUAAUAAAAAUGACAUAAAAGCAUAUUACAAAUACAAAUACAAAUCGUAAAUGAGAAAAAACCGAUUAGUUGAAAUCUUGAUUUGUUCCAAAUUUUUGCCAUAUAUGCUCAACCAAAUCGCUUUUCAAUUGUUGAUGUAUUUUAUUAUCACGAACUCGAUUCCGAAUGCUCAUCAUAUUGCCUAGAUUUGAAGGCAUAUCAGUAGAAUACGUGAAAUCCACUUGUGAACUUCGAUUUGAUUCCAGUUGUGCGAAAACUGAUACAUCAAACUGAGUGUACCCAUCUCGUUCGUCUUCUACGAUCAUAUUGUGUAGUAUGAUACAUGCUCUCAUUAUCUUUCCAAUUGUGAUUUUAUCCCACAAAAGAGCAGAAUUUUUUACUAUGGCAAAUCGAGCUUGCAAGGCCCCAAAAGCACGCUCGACAUCUUUACAUACAGCCUCUUGAUGUGUAGCUAUUAAGGAUGCUUUCGGACCUUGCGGAAGUGGAAUAGAUUGGACAAAAGUAGCCCAUUUUGGUUAUAUACCAUCUGUGAGAUAGUAACUCAACUGGUACUCGUGUCCGUUGACAAUGUAAUUAACUUUUGGAGCUCGACCUUGUAAGAUAUCGUUUAAUGUACCUGGAGGUCCGAAAACACAUGCCAUAUCCAGAGAUCUUGUUCAACCAAGCACUUAUCAUAACAAGAUCUUCAGUUGGUGACCACUUCCUCCUUUCUUUACGGUCCGACACAACGAGUUCAUCUUCGUUUCCAUCGUCAGCCCACUGUGUACCGAAGACAGACGCAUCCGAGGAAGACAGUUCUAUACUAGGUUCGGGAGUGACAACGGAGAAGGAGGUGUUUGGUUGUUGACUGUGUAGGAGGUUUUGAAAGCUCCCAGGCUGAGUAAAUGGAUCCAUAGCGAAUGGGAGAAAGGAAUUAUGAAAGAAGAAGGAGAUAUGAGUUAUGAAAGAAGAAGGAGAUAUGAAUUAUCACAAAAGAAGGAGAUAUAAAUUUCGAAAGAAGAAGGAGAUAUGAAAAGAGAAAGGGAGAGUUGCUCGAUUUUUAAUGAAACGUUAAGGUUGGUUUAGUGUGUGUUUUAAUGGCAAUCAAUGCCUUCACCUAAAACUAUAACAGCCAACAACACUAAAUGUAAAUCACUUAAAGCCUACCUAAAACUAUAACAACCAUCAAUAUCUACCAGCUACCAGCACACAAAGAACAUUUAAUUCCUCCUAAUUAAUAUCUAACAUCUUCUUAAAAGGAAAGUGUACUAACCUCGGGCUUUGAUGAGGUUGAAUCCUUCUGAGAGACUCGCGUGGGUUCCGGAAUGAAUGAAACACUCCAUUGCCUCUUCCACACAACACCGAUCCUUACACAACCACCAAAGACAGAAUAGAGCAAAACGUAUGAGUACAAUUGAGUAAAAUCUAAGCAUCGAGUACUAAAAACAGAGCAACAUCUAUGAAUCAUGAUUCAUGAAUCAUGUUUGAACCAAUGUAAACUAUUCCAUAUGAAUGAUCCGAUGUAACAACAUUCCAAUCAGAGGUAAAGCUAUUCCAAUUACGAGGCAGAAGACAAUCAGAUCACAUUCAUCUAUCUCAAGAACAUAAACAAGGAUCGAACACAAACAAGAUUCUAAAACAUUAACCUGAUCUAAGAUUGUAAAACACAUCUCAAAAAGAUUCCACCUUUCUCGACAAAACAA